rnacentral:rRNA from 1 species
UACAGGGGGGGCAAGCGUUGUUCGGAAUUACUGGGCGUAAAGGGCUCGUAGGCGGCCAACUAAGUCCGACGUGAAAUCCCAAAGCUUAACUUUGGAACUGCGUCCGAUACUGGAUGGCUUGAAUCCGGGAGAGGGAUGCAGAAUUCCAGGUGUAGCGGUGAAAUGCGUAGAUAUCUGGAGGAAUACCGGUGGCGAAGGCGGCAUCCUGGACCGGCAUUGACGCUGAGGAGCGAAAGCCAGGGGAGCAAACGGG